GUUUAUGGUUGUCAGGCAAUGAUGAAAGACCAGUUUGCGACCUAUGUUGUGCAGAAAGUAUUGGAGACUUGCGAUGAUCAGCAGUGUGAGCUGAUCCUCUCACUGAUAAAGGUCCACUUGAAUGCACUGAAGAAAUAUACUUAUGGAAAGCAUGUAGUCGCACAUGUAGAGAAACUUGUUGCAGCUGGAGGUAUGAUACACGAGACUUGUUAACAAUCUUAUCAAAAGAAACUGCCAUUUUUGCAAUAUACAUGAUGGUAGAUAAGCAGCAGCAUGCACUUAAUUUGCAAUGCAAUUGCUUUCAAGAACCAGAGAGGAAAGAAGAAUAGUUCAGUUUUCAUAUACAUCGUAGAAGGCAUAGGGCAGGAAGUUGUACAGCUAACAGAGGCAAGCACAGGCUUCUUUUGCAUUUAUCUAUCCAUGUAGGCAGAUAUGAGCUGGUCGGUACUAAAUUAGUUGCUUGAGUGAGAAUUGUACAUUCUCUAGUUUGAAGUUAUAGCGAAUCAUGUGAAGGCUGAGGCCCCUUGGAGAGGAGAUAAAUGUUUGCACAAGUUGUUCAGGUGUGUAAAGAAAUGAUAAAGGAAAAAAGAAGGGUAGAGUAUGGUAGCCAUGACUGCACAAAUGUUGUGAUGUGGAGUGCUCUGUCAUUUAAGUGAAACCAGUAUUUUCUUUUGUUAAGCAUGGGAUUCAUUCAUUUCUCUUGUGGUGUACGAUCUUUUAAUUCAAGCCCCUGGAAUCAUCUCCA